CACUCUGAAAAUGAAAAAUAGACAUACAGUUUCAACCGACGAUGAUAUGAAAUUAAAUAAAAAAUCGACAAGGGUUCGUUAGAACUCUCGGAAAAACAGAUAAAAAAAUUUACGAACAACUUUGGAACAUAAGCUGUAUUACGCCUGUAAACUCAUCUAAUUCCCAAUUCGUCCACGCGUCAAAUCUUCCAAUUCUCAGUGUAUAGUCAAUGCUCGAAUGAUCUAACGCGCAUGCGCUAAAAUUCUGCAGCAAAAGUAGUUGUUGUCAGCAUAACCAACAUUUUUGAGGUUACAUCCAUCGCGGCGACCUGUCAUCUGAACUUACAUCGAUUGGUCGACCUGACAAAACAACUGCUUUGCUCUAGAAUUUUUUGCGCAUGCGCAUUAGACCAUUCGACCGUUAUCUACUCACUCUGUACACCUAUAUCCGUACGUAUUGCAGUUAAGCCCUCGAAUUUCAGGCCGGAUUGUAAUUAAUCCGUGUAUUGUACAAGGAGAUAAAAAAUUUAUUGCGCUCGGAUAUCGAAGUAUCGGCAUUAAACCAGCUAUAUUACUUUGUAAUGCACGACGUGUGCUGUAUCCACAUCCGAGUUUUUUACGAGUACAACAUUUUGUAUUGCCUGUUUAAGGAGAGAGAAAAAAAUCUUCACACCUACAGCAUAUAUUUUCAACCUUAAAACGACAGAGCAGAUGUGUCAGCGCGGCUGAUUGGCUCAAGGCUUCGUGCAUAGAGGAGGUAUGAAUGCACGAUUAUACGUACUACAUACCGUUGCUGGUCGUGUAAUGUACGUUGACUACCUUGAAAGAGAUUACGCAAUUGUUUAAGUUGGCCUACAGGUAAAACGACCGUAAUGUAACGUAACCCGGCUUGUUGCAGACGUGUUCUUAUCGACGAAAUACCUGACUGCCGGUAUGUGUAUACCCGAGAAAUUCUGGAAUUUCGCAAUGAAUUUUCAUGGUGCUGAAAAAGACGUGGAAAUCAAUCCUUCCAGUACAAUAGCGGCGACAGGACGGUAACACAGAGCGUGAACAUUCCAACUACUUUGCACGCAGCGAUUCAUCCUGCAGUUUUGCAAAAGUUUACGAUCGAUUGUAUACUUGAACGAGAAGAGGAAAAUAUAGAUAACAAAAGAGAUAUUUUUUUUUAGACGUAAUUACCACAUCGAUUGUAUACGAUAAUUAUACGUAGCCCCUAUUUAGACCGUGUUACAGGUAUAAUAUUCUUGUGCAAACGAAAACGUUUAAAUAAUACGCAAACAAAAAUAAGGAGAACUUGGUAAUUCUCAUAUUUCCGAAGAAUUAUAAUAUCAUGUAUACAAGGGCAGACGAAUACGACGCGGCGACGAUUGAAGAGAAACAAAAAAUACAAAAUCAAGGCAACGCGGAAUAAUAUGGAAGAGAUGGAGAGAAAACCACAGAGUUUGUUAUAUAAACCGAAACGCUGCUAGUCAACCGUGAUUCGGUAAAUGAAAGAUCAUUUAUGUAGUUAAAGAGAAGUUAUAAAUCGCACUGUUUAAUUUUUAUAACGUUCAAAUUAUUAUACUUUAUAUGCACGGGGAUUUUUGCAGGUACGCGCGUCCUUCGUAUUUAUCAAACGUGUAAACGUGACACAUGUUGUGUUGCUCAUAUUUUUUUUCCACACGUUAAUACGUAACAUGUGUAAACGUACUUAUGACUAAAAUGUCGCUUUUCUAUCUACAGAGCCCGACGCGGUUAAAGAUAAGUUACAUCCGCCUAACUCCAGAUUCAAAAAAAAAAAAAAGGAAAAAAAACGUACGUAGGCGGAUGAGUCUUUCUGGUACUAUAA
rnacentral:lncRNA from 1 species